rnacentral:lncRNA from 1 species
UACGAUUUACACAAACAAAUUACAAAAAUUUUUUGACCUAAGUUCAAUUUUCGCGAACAUUUUGAAACUAUUUGACUGAAUGAAGACUAUACGGUUUUGCAAAAUUUGCUAUACCAAUCUUUUGGUUAGGACGAAAGGAAGAAAUGCUUGCAAAUCAUCUGUUCGAAACUGAGCAAAGGAAAAAUUAAAAAUGGUGCACUAAAUGGACCGGAUAUGCCUUAAGAGUCGGACGAACAAAGUGUGCGUUUUCACCACAUCACCAAGUCAAUAGAAAUGCGAUAUAAGGGAAAACGCACUGCAUGCAUUGCUUGCGGAAGUAUUUUGGUGGUCAAGGAAAAUAAUUCAAUUUUAAAAUGAAUACACCGAAGAAGUGCAUUUGAGCAAAUAUGGACGUAAAUAUGUCAAUAAAUGUAUUUACUGACCUUGAUCAAGAUGAUGUUCCUGGUGUUGCUGAUGCUGAUAAAUCACGCUUGUGGUGAAUGAAGCUAUCAUAAAUAUAGGCAUAAUAGCAACAAUUUGGCUUCAGAUACUAAAACGAAAUUCCGUGCAGUUGACCAGAUGUGACCAUGUCAAAAUAUUAAGAAACUAUUAAAAUCACUUUGAAAACGAGGUAACGCUCUCAGAUUCUUAUAUGAGAGCAAAUCAAGACUUGACGUCUACAUUCAACAUCUGAUCACCAAAGUCUUAUCGGAAAUUUAGUGUUGCAUAGUGUAAAGGCAAAUUAGGUAUUUACUCACAUAUAUAAUGCUCUAAAUUCAUUCCACUCGAAUCAGUUGUACUUCAUUUGCUUUCCUAUCUUAUU